GUAGGUGGCAAGCGUUGUCCGGAAUUAUUGGGCGUAAAGCGCGCGCAGGCGGUUCUUUAAGUCUGAUGUGAAAGCCCACGGCUCAACCGUGGAGGGUCAUUGGAAACUGGAGAACUUGAGUACAGAAGAGGAAAGCGGAAUUCCACGUGUAGCGGUGAAAUGCGUAGAGAUGUGGAGGAACACCAGUGGCGAAGGCGGCUUUCUGGUCUGUAACUGACGCUGAGGCGCGAAAGCGUGGGGAGCAAACAGGGAUUAGAUACCCUGGUAGUCCACGCCGUAAACGAUGAGUGCUAAGUGUUAGGGGGUUUCCGCCCCCUUAGUGCUGCAGCUAACGCAUUAAGCACUCCGCCUGGGGAGUACGGCCGCAGGGCUG
rnacentral:rRNA from 1 species